CAACGUUCUCAUUUGUCAGGUGCCUCCUCCAAUCAGGUUGCAGCAAUGAUCAAAUGGCAUGAUGGGAACAAAACCUCAUAGAGAUAUCAGUCUCCCACAUUCAAGGCGGGUCUUCUUGUCUCACUUAAACCUCCCUGGAAACUUCUUCAAGGAAACAUCCAGAGGUGUGUCUCCUAAAGGAACUUCACAUCCAGUCAACGUGGCAAUGAAGAUGAACCCUCCGGCAGUUUGCUAGUAAGAGGAACAUCAAAGAAUUAUUCAUUUACAACUAAAGGGCUCCUUGGUGGUUAUCCGAAGAUACUGAGAGACAAAAUUAGUGUGUGUGGAAAGAAGCUGAGUGAUCAAGACUCCAUGCCAUCUGCACUCCCUGAGGACUCUUAACGUCAGGGAAAGUGAGAGAAUCAGCAAUAGACCAGUGACCGAGACACAAGACCACAAGAGCUCACAUCCUGCUCUCUGAGCUUGAGGAAAGGUGGUGGCAUCUCUGCAGAACCUGGUGACAUCAAGCCCCAGCCAACACGAACAUGUGCCUUGCACUCAGAAAUCCCAGGAUUGUCACAACUUGUGCCAGCUGUUGAGGUUAUGACACCUGUGCCAGCAUCGCCAGCUCUGCCCACUGUCAUCUGUUCCAACUGUUCCAUCUGCACUGUUUGCACCAAUUCUCCCAGUUCUGCAUCUGUACCUUCUGCAGAACCGUUUCCAACAAUGCCAGCUGUGUCAUUGGUGCCAAAUAUGCCAGAUGUUCUAUUUGUCCACCCUGGGCCAAAUCAAUGCAGUUUUGUGCUCAUUAGUUAGAGCUGGUAGAUUCUAUUUUACAAUUUUUUGAGAUGUAUUUAGAUUGAAUCCAGGCAAAUAUCCCCUUACGAUGAUAGCACAUCUCUCUGUCCAUCUUUUUUUUGCGGCCCCGACUUUAUUAUCUGACAACAUGAACUUGGUCAAUGUUACCUGGAUUGUAGUAAAAACAGCUCGCCGGAACUGGCUCAAUAUUAAUUGUGGUAGAGGAUCUACUACAAAUGUAAAAUUAUACACCAACAAAGGCUGUGGAAUGCAGCAUCAAAUUUCCAAAGUAAUUAAAAGAGAAUAAACUUUGUUCUGAUAAACAAA